GACGAACGCUGGCGGCGUGCUUAACACAUGCAAGUCGAACGGAAAGGCCCUGCUCUUGUGGGUUGCUCGAGUGGCGAACGGGUGAGUAACACGUGAGUAACCUGUCCCUGACUUUGGGAUAACUUCACGAAACAGGGGCUAAUACCGGAUAGGAGCUCCUGCUGCACGGGGGGGGUUGGAAAGAUUCGGCCGUGGGGGAUGGACUCGCAGCUUAUGAGCUGGUUGGUGGGGUAGUGGUUUACCAAGGCUAUGACGGGUAGCCGGCCUGGGCGCGUAGCCAGCCACCUUGGGCCUACGAUACGGCCCAGACUCCUACGGGAGGCAGCAGUGGGGAAUAUUGCACAAUGGGCGGAAGCCUGAUGCAGCAACGCCGCGUGCGGGAUGCCGGCCUUCGGGUUGUAAACCGCUUUCGCAUGUGACGAAGCGUGAGUGACGGUAAUGGGUAAAGAAGCACCGGCUAACUACGUG
rnacentral:rRNA from 1 species